GAUGAACGCUGGCGGCGUGCCUAAUACAUGCAAGUCGAGCGAACGGACGAGAAGCUUGCUUCUCUGAUGUUAGCGGCGGACGGGUGAGUAGCACGUGGAUAACCUACCUAUAAGACUGGGAUAACUUCGGGAAACCGGAGCUAAUACCGGAUAAUAUUUUGAACCGCAUGGUUCAAAAGUGAAAGACGGUCUUGCUGUCACUUAUAGAUGGAUCCGCGCUGCAUUAGCUAGUUGGUAAGGUAACGGCUUACCAAGGCAACGAUGCAUAGCCGACCUGAGAGGGUGAUCGGCCACACUGGAACUGAGACACGGUCCAGACUCCUACGGGAGGACGCAGUAGGGAAUCUUCCGCAAUGGGCGAAAGCCUGACGGAGCAACGCCGCGUGAGUGAUGAAGGUCUUCGGAUCGUAAAACUCUGUUAUUAGGGAAGAACAUAUGUGUAAGUACCUGUGCACAUCUUGACGGUACCUAAUCAGAAAGCCACGGCUAACUACGUG
rnacentral:rRNA from 1 species